rnacentral:rRNA from 1 species
UACGUAGGGGGCAAGCGUUUGUCCGGAUUUAUUGGGCGUAAAGAGCGUGUAGGCGGCCUUACAGGUCAGCUGUGAAACUCGAGGCUCAACCUCGAGACGUCGGUUGAAACCGUAAGGCUAGAGUCCGGAAGAGGAGAGUGGAAUUCCCGGUGUAGCGGUGAAAUGCGCAGAUAUCGGGAAGAACACCCGUGGCGAAGGCGGCUCUCUGGGACGGUACUGGACGCUGAGACGGCGAAAGCGUGGGGAGCGAACAGG